rnacentral:rRNA from 1 species
AUUGAACGCUGGCGGCAUGCCUUACACAUGCAAGUCGAACGGCAGCACGGGUGCUUGCCCCUGGUGGCGAGUGGCGAACGGGUGAGUAAUACAUCGGAACAUGUCCUGUAGUGGGGGAUAGCCCGGCGAAAGCCGGAUUAAUACCGCAUACGAUCUACGGAUGAAAGCGGGGGCCCUUCGGGCCUCGCGCUAUAGGGUUGGCCGAUGGCUGAUUAGCUAGUUGGUGGGGUAAAGGCCUACCAAGGCGACGAUCAGUAGCUGGUCUGAGAGGACGACCAGCCACACUGGGACUGAGACACGGCCCAGACUCCUACGGGAGGCAGCAGUGGGGAAUUUUGGACAAUGGGCGAAAGCCUGAUCCAGCAAUGCCGCGUGUGUGAAGAAGGCCUUCGGGUUGUAAAGCACUUUUGUCCGGAAAGAAAUCCUUGGCCCUAAUACGGUCGGGGGAUGACGGUACUGGAAGAAUAAGCACCGGCUAACUACGUG